AUUGAACGCUGGCGGCAGGCCUAACACAUGCAAGUCGAGCGGAGCGGCGGACGGGGGGGUAAUGCCUAGGGAUCUGCCUGGUAGUGGGGGAUAACGUCCGGAACCGGGCGCUAAUAUCGCAUACUAUCAGAUCACCCUAGGUCGAAUUAGCUAGUUGGUGGGGUAAUGGCCUACCAAGGCGACGAUCCGUAACGGGUCUGAGAGGAGGAUCAGUCAAACUGGAACUGAGACACGGCCCAGACUCCUACGGGAGGCAGCAGUGGGGAAUAUUGGACAAUGGGCGAAAGCCUGAUCCAGCCAUGCCGCGUGUGUGAAGAAGGUUUUCGGAUUGUAAAGCACUUUAAGUGGGGAGGCGGUACCAACAGAAUAAGCACCGGCUAACUUCGUGCCAGCCGCCGCGGUAAUUC
rnacentral:rRNA from 1 species